UACAGAGGUCUCAAGCGUUGUUCGGAUUCAUUGGGCGUAAAGGGUGCGUAGGCGGCGUCGUAAGUCGGGUGUGAAAUCUCGGGGCUUAACUCCGAAAUUGCAUUCGAUACUGCGGUGCUUGAGGACUGGAGAGGAGACUGGAAUUCACGGUGUAGCAGUGAAAUGCGUAGAUAUCGUGAGGAAGACCGGUGGCGAAAGCGGCUCUCUGGGACGGUACUGACGCUGAGACGCGAAAGCGUGGGGAGCAAACAGG
rnacentral:rRNA from 1 species